rnacentral:lncRNA from 1 species
CGGGUUGAUCAGAGGCACAAAAUAUAUUUAACUUGACCUUCAUAUUUCCAAAGGAUAUAUUCAUCACCCCAGUUCUACAAUUUAUACUCGCAUUGGCUGUAGCUAAAAAGGGGCGCCCAAGGAUCACAGGGAUUUGUUUCUUAGGAUUAGGCUCAUGUUCCAUAUCAAGGACGAUAAAAUCUACUGAAAAUAGAAUUUGUCUACCUUGACAAGAACAUCUUCAAUUAUCCCACGUGGUAUUUUUACAGAUCGAUUAGCCAAUUGAAGGGAUACCGAGGUUGGUUUUAACUCACCUAACCCAAGUUUCUCAUAAACUGAGUAAGGUAAAAGGUUGACACUUGCCCCUAGAUCUAAGAGUGCUCGAUCAAUGAAAUUAUUUUCUAAGACACAGGAGAUGGUGGGAGCACCAGGAUCUUUGAAUUUCGGAGGGGUGUUGUGUUGGAGAAUAGAACUCACUUGCUCAGUUAGGAAGACCUUUUUAGGCACAUGUGUCCUAUAUUUUCACUUUUGGGUACAAAGGUCUUUGAGAAAUUUGGCAUACGAGGGAACUUGUCUAAUAGCAUCAAGAAGCGGAAGGUUGAUUUUGACUUGUUUAAAAACCUCCAUCAUCUCCUCUAGUGAAGUUCCUUUCUUGCCAAAGGGAGUGGGUGCAUUAAGAGCUUCAGGAAAUGGAGCCUUUGGGAUGUGAGUUUUGGCCGAAGGUGGACUAACU